rnacentral:lncRNA from 1 species
GCUGAAUCUUCAAUUUUGUACCCUGUUACUAAAUUUUCAAGGCUUAUAAUGUCUUUUUCAAUACCUAGGGAUUUCAUUAAUUUCAUUAUUAUUUUUAGAAAGUCAUUAUUAUAUGAGCAAUUGACAAAAAAAUGUUCAUAGUCUUCCUUUUUUUUACAAUGCUUACAUAAGUUGUCUUCAGUAAUUUUCCACUUUUUUAAUAGUUCAUUACUUGGCAGUAUGUAGUGAAUAAGUUUCCAUCUAAAUAUUUU